AGCGAGCUUUGGGUUAUUUUGGUGGGUUAUCUAGCCCUUGUGCUUUAGAAUGGGAUGAAGAAACAAAAUCAAAGCUCAAGCGCUGGAUCAUUCGAUCCAUGGAACUAAAUUGUGGAAGGUCAGUUUGGUGGUACGGCGAGAUAAAAGAAAAGAAAAGAAUAAAAGGUUAUACACGUGUCUGAAAAAAAAAGAAAAAUUGAAAUAAAUAAAUCGUCGAAAGUAGGGUGCACAUGCCAAGCUGCCCCAAAAAUUAAGAUCAGUGUGCCGAAAAGCCGAAAGAUCAGUGAUUCUCCAAAGAUAAACCCGGUUUCAAGCCCCAAAAGGGGUCUGAGCUUUGCCAGUCGAUCUCGGUUUCUCCAGUGUAAUUUAAUAUUGACGAAAGUUAUCCAACGGAGGUCAAACUUCUGCCGCACAACGAAAAUUUGCGAUCAACCUUAUUUUUGACCUUGGCAGAGGACA